rnacentral:rRNA from 1 species
GAUGAACGCUGGCGGCGUGCCUAAUACAUGCAAGUCGAGCGAACAGACGAGGAGGUUGCUCCUCUGACGUUAGCGGCGGACGGGUGAGUAACACGUGGAUAACCGACCUAUAAGACUGGGAGAACUUCGGGAAACCGGAGCUAAUACCGGAUAAUAUAUUGAACCGCAUGGUUCAAUAGUGAAAGACGGUUUUGCGGUCACUUAUAGAUGGAUCCGCGCCGCAUUAGCUAGUUGGUAAGGUAACGGCUUACCAAGGCAACGAUGCGUAGCCGACCUGAGAGGGUGAUCGGCCACACUGGAACUGAGACACGGUCCAGACUCCUACGGGAGGCAGCAGCAGGGAAUCUUACGCAAUGGGCGAAAGCCUGACGGAGCAACGCCGCGUGAGUGAUGAAGGUCUUCGGAUCGUAAAACUCUGUUAUUAGGGAAGAACAAAUGUGUAAGUAACUAUGCACGUCUUGACGGUACCUAAUCAGAAAGCCACGGCUAACUACGUG